CAACGAGCAACACGACAGACCACCGCCC
rnacentral:piRNA from 1 species